AUACGGGGGGUGCAAGCGUUAAUCGGAAUUACUGGGCGUAAAGCGCGCGUAGGCGGCUUGCUCAGUCGGAUGUGAAAGCCCAGGGCUCAACCUUGGAACUGCAUACGAUACUGGCAAACUAGAGUGUGAGAGAGGAUAGUGGAAUUUCCGGUGUAGCGGUGAAAUGCGUAGAUAUCAGAAGGAACAUCAGUGGCGAAGGCGACUGUCUGGCUCAACACUGACGCUGAGGUGCGAAAGCGUGGGUAGCAAACAGGAUUAGAAACCCCAGUAGUCC
rnacentral:rRNA from 1 species